rnacentral:rRNA from 1 species
GCGCGAAAACUUUACAAUGCUGGCAACAGCGAUAAGGGAACCUCGAGUGCCAGGUUACAAAUCUGGCUGUCGAGAUGCCUAAAAAGCAUUUCAUAGCAAGGGUCGGGCAAGAUCGGUGCCAGCCGCCGCGGUAACACCGGCGGCUCGAGUGGUAACCGUUAUUAUUGGGUCUAAAGGGUCUGUAGCCGGCCGGAUAAGUCUCUUGAGAAAUCUGGCAGCUUAACUGUCAGGCUUUCAGGAGAUACUGUCUGGCUCGAGGCCGGGAGAGGUGAGAGGUACUUCAGGGGUAGGGGUGAAAUCUUGUAAUCCUUGAAGGACCACCAGUGGCGAAGGCGUCUCACCAGAACGGACCUGACGGCAAGGGACGAAAGCUAGGGGCACGAACC